CUACCAUACACACUAUACUUCAACACUUUCCUCGCUCAACCACUCCAUCAACCAUCCUCUUUCUCCCCAUACAUCUUGAACUCCUUACACCAAUACUUCAUAUCCAUUAGCCAUUUUCCUUUAUAAACAUAUAUUAAACCUCAUCCCAAAUGCAUCUACCCACUCUUUACAUUCACAUCCCUAUUCCUUUAAUAUCUUACGUUCCACUUCCUCAACCAUAGAGCAUUCUUUAUAAAUCACUUUAAUAUGCUUUACUUCCACACACUACUGCUACCAUUGCCUUGCACAGUACUCCCCUUACUCACACACCUUCAAUCACACUCCUAUCUCCAUACAGGACCCAACAUGUAUUAAACAUUAUCCCCCUACACCAUUUUCCCUCAUCAUCCAAUAUGUUUCUACUAUUAUCACACACCGUCUCUACCUCCCGCCAAUUUUAACUGUCUUCAUUUCCACCUACAACUCUCUAUCCACACUUUCUCACCCUAUAAACAUUUAAUACACUCCUACAAUAUACCAUCCCAUCCUAUUAUCAUAUAUACUCCUCCUUCUCAGAUCACAUCCUCUCCAACUCCAUUCACACAUCUUUUUCUUUACACACCCUCACCCACGCUCUCCAUACCUCACGCAAACCAAUAUACACAUACCCAACUCACACUAAAAAAUUAAAUUUUACCUAUCUAUUAAAGAUAUUUACCCUGUGUUGUACCUAAUCCAUCUACAACACCCGCAUAAUCAUUAUUCCUAUUCCUUACUAACAUCAUUACCCCUCCACUAAAUCACAAAAUUGACACUUUUUUAAAAAAUUUGCAUCAAAAAACAGACCACAAUUCUUCACUUUCCUUAACAAUCAACCCUUUUCACUGUAUAUUGACUACUUUUCCAUUUCUUUCACAAUAAAAAACACAAAUACUGUUUUUUUCUCUCAAAUCAUCACCAACCACUCUUCUCAAAAAUAUUAUUUCUACAAUGGCACAGCUCACAUCAAAAUCUUCUUUACAUCCUUCCUUUACACGCAAGCAACCUUCAAACCUUCCUCCUACACGCCAAUAACCAUGACCCUUCGCUAUCAUCCCGUGCAAACCUUUUAAAUCCCUACAAACACUGCACAAAAAUCACAUUUAAACUUAUACCAAUACUCUCGUACCCAUUCUAUAUACGAUCAAAAUCGCCUCUCCACACAACUUUUUGCUUGCAAAAAACUCCUCUCAAACAAAACAUCAACAUCAUAUAUCAACUUUUCACUCUAACUUUUAAAUAUUUUAUAUUCCUCUAUCACCUUCCAUAUCAAUUACUUUACCACUUUUUAUAAUGAAGAUUGAAACAUGCAACAAAUAAUUCAACUUCCUACAUCUCUUAACCAAUUUCAGACUUACUCAUAAAAACACAGACCGCCUCCUUAAACAGCAACCUUACGGUAAACUCACGUUUUGCUAUUUACUACUAUAAACUAAAGGCUUCGAAUUCAUAAUUCCGUUUAGUGUGCUACAACGAAAUGCUUUAUAAUAAUAAAAUAACAUAGUAAGCAUCACUCAUAAUACAUACAGCUACUAAUAAUAAAAUAUCUAUCCACUUU
rnacentral:lncRNA from 1 species